rnacentral:lncRNA from 1 species
GGAGGUGGUGAUGGUUAAGUGUUUGGGGUAGGUAGAGGAUUUAGCUUUUGGGUGAGGGUGUUUAACCGUAGUGACUGAUUGUUGAGAGAAGGUGGGUUGGAUGAUGUCGAGAUCUUAUGGAGGAGAUACUUCACAAAGUCUUCAGAACACCAAUAUCAGAUGACAACUUUAGAAACCUUUUGAAGAAGAUGUUUCUGAGCAGAUACAACUCCUUUGGAUAUUGUUACGAGUGGCUUCUUCAUUUUCACCACUUGUUUAGGCUGUCAACACUAAGAUAUUAUUCCUAAUUCCAUUUCACAUUUUUGCUUUAUGUUGCCAUAGUAUCUCAAGUCGUUGGGUAACGUGAUUAUCAGUAACUUAAGUUUUGCAUUAGCCCGAUUACAAUGAUCACUUUCUUAUUCAUCAUCUUCCACAAACUCAUCUAUGGUUGAUCUUAUUAUCCAUGGUCUUUAAGCGCGGGUGGAUGAGAUAUAUGAGCAUAAAGUAAUAUUAAAUGAUUUGUAUUGUACUUAAGGAAAAUGAGAGUGUCCCAUCUAAGAAAUCGUGCAGGUGCACCUUUGUAAACAUCAGCGAGGACGUUGAAUCCAUAAGAGUGAAGUCUUUGAAGAUCAUUCCAUUGUUCAUCCUUUUUAUUAUACUUUUUUUCUGUUCUUCUUCAUAUUUUUCCUCUUCUUUGUCAUCUUUUUCUUCUUCAUUGGCUUGUGAGAGUGGAGGCAGCUUACCCACCUUGUUUUGGUGUAAUCUUCUUCGAUAGUCAAGUUUAUUUGAUUGGCCACUAUGUGAAAGUUAAGGUUUGAAGGAAUGGUUAGGGAAGGGAAAUUGCAGAUGGUUUGAGAGAAUUUCAGAGAUCAAGAGUCUUUUGACAAAAGGUGUGAGAAGAAUAGGUUACAAGCAUGGUUUAUAAGGUAUGAAAAUGAUGGUAAAUAUCUUAGAAAGGAAGAGUUUUUAUGGAACUAGGUUCGACAAGUAAUGAUUACCAUCAUGUCUCAAUAAAUGCAUGUCGUAUGG